AUAAAACCGGGAGUUAGAAUAGAGCAGUACAGGGUAAGUGAUUCAGCAGAGUAAAAGUGAGGAUUUCUUAAGUCAGGAAAUUCCUAUAAACUUUAGUAGACAGUACUUCAGUUUAAACAAGUUUCAGAAGAGUAUUCUGUUACUUCUGCUUUUAUUUCUUUUGAGUUCACGUACCAAGCUCGUGUUUUAUUUUAAGCAGCGUAGGUCUGUCACUUCACGUAGUCACUCAGUGCAAGUUAUUUUCUUUAGGCAUUGUUAUAUACAGUCUUGUUAAAACAACAUAUUGUAUUGCAAAGUUUAAGUUUAUGCACCGUUAAUACGUGCUCGAAAUGAAAGUAAAGAGACAGUGACUAGAUCGUAAAAUAAACGAAGCAAUUGAGAGGCAGCUGGACAGUGUUUCAGAAGGACCACGUUUAGAUAGAGAGAGCGAGGUAGACUGCAGCGACAGAGGUUUGCCGUGAUCCAGAGACUGCAAGUAACCGAGAGCUACAACUGGGAGAAGCCUUUCAGAAUUGUUGAUCCAGUUAACUUGACUCUGCAACAGAAUGGACUGCUGCUUAUGGCAUGGAAAUUGAAGCAUAGACUUAGCAAUGAAGCCACCUCGGACAUACUGGACAUUAUUAAUUCAAUAGCUGCAGGUACCUGGGCCUGGGCUUUUGGGCUGACCCCCUGUUGGACAGUGACCAGUGGGACAGCAUUUGGGAUGGGCAGAAGAUGGCCCCAGGUUUCGAUGGGGCCUGUCUGUGUGGGGCUAAUUUUAUAGUGAAGAGGACAAGGGCCAUUUAUGGCCUGGAGUGAUACUACAAGCUGGGACACAAGGAAUACAAGGUUGUUUCUUUCUGUGCUACGGCCUCUCUUCUCAUGGUCGAGAAGCACCGGGAGCCUCCCUGACUAUUUGCACAAUUGAACUUGUUUUUAGAUACUGUUAACCUAAUUCAAUUGUUUAAGUAGGACUUGUUGUUUUAGAGAGAUGUCAUAUUUCUAGGUUUAGUUGGGAUUGUAUUUUUUUUUUUUGUAUAAACUGUUAUUUGGAUAAAGAUUAUUGUAGCCAUUCAUUGCAAUAA